CCUACGGGUGGCAGCAGUGGGGAAUAUUGCACAAUGGGCGCAAGCCUGAUGCAGCGACGCCGCGUGAGGGAUGACGGCCUUCGGGUUGUAAACCUCUUUCAGCAGGGAAGAAGCUUUCGGGUGACGGUACCUGCAGAAGAAGCGCCGGCUAACUACGUGCCAGCAGCCGCGGUAAUACGUAGGGCGCAAGCGUUGUCCGGAAUUAUUGGGCGUAAAGAGCUCGUAGGCGGUCUGUCGCGUCUGGUGUGAAAACCCGAGGCUCAACCUCGGGCUUGCAUCGGGUACGGGCGGACUAGAGUGCUGUAGGGGAGACUGGAAUUCCUGGUGUAGCGGUGGAAUGCGCAGAUAUCAGGAGGAACACCGAUGGCGAAGGCAGGUCUCUGGGCAGUUACUGACGCUGAGGAGCGAAAGCAUGGGGAGCGAACAGGAUUAGAUACCCU
rnacentral:rRNA from 1 species